CACGUUGCCGACCAUUUCCUUGACCACAUCCCCAACCAUUUCCUUGACCGCUUCCCUGGCCAGAACCGCUUCCCUGACCAUAACCACUUCCCUGACCACUUCCCUGACCAUAACCGCUGCCCUGUCCGCUUCCCUGACCAGAACCGCUUCCCUGGCCCUGUCCGCUUCCCUGGCCCCUUCCCUGACCAGAACCGCUUCCUUGGCCGCUUCCCUGACCGCUGCCCUGGCCCUGUCCACUUCCCUGGCGGCUUCCCUGGCCAUAACCGCUUCCCUGACCCUGUCCACUUACCUGGCCGCUUCCCUGACCAUAACCGCUUCCCUGACUGCUGCCCUCUCCGCGUCCCUGGCCACGUCC
rnacentral:lncRNA from 1 species